CCUACGGGAGGCAGCAGUGAGGAAUAUUGGUCAAUGGACGCAAGUCUGAACCAGCCAUGCCGCGUGCAGGAAGACGGCUCUAUGAGUUGUAAACUGCUUUUGUACGAGGGUAAAUCCCGAUACGUGUAUCGGGUUGAAAGUAUCGUACGAAUAAGGAUCGGCUAACUCCGUGCCAGCAGCCGCGGUAAUACGGAGGAUUCAAGCGUUCUCCGGAUUUAUUGGGUUUAAAGGGUGCGUAGGCGGUUCGAUAAGUUAGAGGUGAAAGCCCGGGGCUCAACUCCGGCACUGCCUCUGAUACUGUCGGGCUAGAGUUUAGUUGCGGUAGGCGGAAUGUAUGGUGUAGCGGUGAAAUGCAUAGAGAUCAUACAGAACACCGAUUGCGAAGGCAGCUUACCAAACUACGACUGACGUUGAGGCACGAAAGCGUGGGGAGCAAACAGGAUUAGAUACCCUAGUAGUC
rnacentral:rRNA from 1 species